AGUGAACGCUGGCGGUAGGCCUAACACAUGCAAGUCGAACGGCAGCACAGUAAGAGCUUGCUCUUACGGGUGGCGAGUGGCGGACGGGUGAGGAAUACAUCGGAAUCUACUUUUUCUUGGGGGAUAACGUAGGGAAACUUACGCUAAUACCGCAUACGACGUACGGGUGAAAGCAGGGGAUCUUCGGACCUUGCGCGAUUGAAUGAGCCGAUGUCGGAUUAGCUAGUUGGCGGGGUAAAGGCCCACCAAGGCGACGAUCCGUAGCUGGUCUGAGAGGAUGAUCAGCCACACUGGAACUGAGACACGGUCCAGACUCCUACGGGAGGCAGCAGUGGGGAAUAUUGGGCAAUGGGCGCAAGCCUGAUCCAGCCAUACCGCGUGGGUGAAGAAGGCCUUCGGAUUGUAAAGCCCUUUUGUUGGGAAAGAAAAGCAGCAGGUUAAUACCUCGCUGUUCUGACGGUACCCAAAGAAUAAGCACCGGCUAACUUCGUG
rnacentral:rRNA from 1 species